CGCUCAGCACACACAACAUUAUUCAGCAAGCUGAUUAACUUCUCAUGAAAUUGUUUUGCUCUCACUGAACGUAACUUUUUCACAGGACUGAGCUUCAAGAAAGCCCUAUGGAUAAUCCUGAUUUUAUAUUAUUUACCGAUGGGUCAUAUCUGUGAGGACCUCAUGGAAAGUACCAGGCUGACCUUGCCACUGUUUCUCCAGUGUAUAUCCUUGAAAACACUUGCAUAAUAUCUUUGCUGCUCAACAGUCUGAAUUAAUAGCACUAACAAGAGCCUGCCAGUUGGCAAAAGGAAAACCUGGGAAUGGUGCCAGAAAGACACCUGGACACAAAAAGGAGGAAGAUUCAACCCCAGCAAAGAGUGUUGGAUAGGCCCAAAUGGGAGGCCUAUCCUUCUGUCUGGAGCUCAACUCGCUGAAGGUAACUCAUUGGAACCCAGAUAAGAUGAUAUUAUGGGGUAAACAAUAUUUUUGGAAGCCUUCUUUUACAACAGUUUGAAAAGUCUAUUCAAGAUAUACCAUUUGUGGGCUUCCCUGGUGGUGCAGUGGUUAAGAAUCCGCCAGCCAAUGCAGGGGACAUGGCUUUGAGCCCUGGUACGGGAAGAUCCCACAUGCCAUGGAGCAACUAAGCCCGUGCGCUAUAACUACUGAGCCUGUGCUCUAGAGCCCGUGAGCCACAACUACUGAAGCUUGUGCACCUAGAGCCUGUGCUCCACAACAAGAGAAGCCACCGCAAUGAGAAGCCCGCACACCGCAACAAAGAGUAGCCCCUGCUCACUGCAACUAGAGAAAGACUGCGUGCAGCAACGAAGACCCAACGCAGCCAAAAAUAAAAUAAAUAAAUUUAUUUAAAAAAAAGAUAUACCAUUUGUUAUCAUAUAUUAACGCAUAUAUGUGGAAUCUAGAAAAAUGGUACAGAUGAACCUGUUUGCAUGGCAGAAAUAGAGACACAGAUGUAGAG